CCAGACUGACUUUUUCACCUGUGACAUACAAAGCACAUCCAGCUUUACAUUUCAGCACAUAGAGAUAAAGUAUGGUGGCCAGACAGUGCUUCUAAGUAAUCUGCCUUUAGUUCAUCAGGUCCUUCUGAUAGUGCGUUUGAUGCUGAUACUUUGUGUCACAGGUGUGUUAGUGUUUAUCUGUUGCUGGCAAGGGAGACUCACCGCUAUGAUGAACGAGCUCUGACCACAGAUGUCUAGCUCUCCGGCCGUUCUCACAGGGAACAAGUUCAGGUCAUUGAAGCUUUCUGAUACUACAGGCUACAAAGGUAGUACAUAUGAAGUCAUUGUAUUUUAGGUGGAAUGUUACUAUUAAGAGACCAUUUGAAGUGGUUAUUACACUGUAAUUAUUAUAAGUGUGGCCUUAUUUUUUAUAUAAUUGUUAUGUUCUUUUUACCAAGUGUGUACUUCUAUAUUCUUUUUA